rnacentral:rRNA from 1 species
GACGAACGCUGGCGGCGUGCCUAAUACAUGCAAGUUGAGCGCUGAAGGUUGGUACUUGUACCAACUGGAUGAGCAGCGAACGGGUGAGUAACGCGUGGGGAAUCUGCCUUUGAGCGGGGGACAACAUUUGGAAACGAAUGCUAAUACCGCAUAAAAACUUUAAACACAAGUUUUAAGUUUGAAAGAUGCAAUUGCAUCACUCAAAGAUGAUCCCGCGUUGUAUUAGCUAGUUGGUGAGGUAAAGGCUCACCAAGGCGAUGAUACAUAGCCGACCUGAGAGGGUGAUCGGCCACAUUGGGACUGUGACACGGCCCAAACUCCUACGGGAGGCAGCAGUAGGGAAUCUUCGGCAAUGGACGAAAGUCUGACCGAGCAACGCCGCGUGAGGGAAGAAGGUUGUCGGAUCGUAAAACUCGGUUGGUAGAGAAGAACGUUGGUGAGAGUGGAAAGCUCAUCAAGUAACGGUAACUACCCAGAAAGGGACGGCUAACUACGUG